rnacentral:lncRNA from 1 species
GGAAGCAAAAGGGGCUUUGGCACUUGCUGGAUGGUCCCCGGGUCCCUCCCUCCACUCACAGGAACAGCUCCUCUGGUUCGACCCCAGGAAACUGACCCCCCCAACUCUCCUGCAGGAGGCUCUCUCCCAGUCACCAGCUCCACGAAUCCUCAGCACGGAAGUGGGGUCCCUGGGGGGCCAGGCCUGCCCAAGAAAGCUGGAGCAGGCCUGCUCUGGGGUCCCCUCUGGGGUGCCGGAUUUGUUGCCAACAUCUCGGUCCUUGUCCCUGAUGCCAAUCCAAUAACGGGGACACAGUCUUGAGAAACAAGAGAAAGAAGGUUUAUUGCUUCGCUGAUAAAGGAGGGACACAGGGGACUCCUGUCCCAAAGGCUGUGGUUCCGCCCACCAGCAGGAACGGUGGGGGCUUUUAAAGAGGUGACCCAAAGGCUACCUUCCCCAUGUUCUCUCUGAAGUUGUAAUUCACACGUUGAUUUGGAUUUCUGAGACCUUCUGGUACAUCCCCAAAGUCUGGGUUCCUGUGGUGGGUGGGGGACAGAUAACCCUGCCUGGGAUGGGGAAGAAAGGUGACCCUGUUUUCCCUGAGAUGAGGGAGGGGGAGAGGAGCAGGAAGAGGAGAGAAGGAAAUGUGUCCAUUCAAAAGAUACGUCACAGGGCCAGAGCAGCAAGGGCUACCUUCAAAGCACAAAGUGGACCAGGGUGACAAAGCCACCUGUCUGCCGUGCUGUCUCUGGGCACUUCGUUGGCUUUCAUACAACCUAUCCCUGUCCUGCACAACGGGGCUGUGGACAGAGACAGGGUCUCCCUGUGUUGCCCAGGCUGGUCCCAAACUCCUGGUCUCAAGGUGACCCUCCUUCCUCAGCAGCCUGAGUAGCUGGGACUCCCAGGGGCCACUAGGGUUCUUCCUAACGAGCUGUUGGGGUAAAGGCAGAGGUGGCUCUGGGGAAAGAUGGCCCCCAGGGUGAGGGAGAUGUAGUCAGGCCAGAAUCACUUCCAGGACAGACCCGAAAGGUCAUUUGAAAGAGAAUAAGUAGAGGCCAUGCGUCCUUGGCUCGGCCAGCACUGGACUGGCUAGCACCUGUACAUCCCCCACUCGGGGCCACCUGGCAGCCCUCUACUCCCUGGCUUUAAGGCAGGCACAGAGGUGCAGGCUGUUGUCCCAGGUAAUCGGGAGGCUGAGGAAGGAGGAUCCCUUGAGCUCGGGCAAGUUCAAGACCAGCCUGGGCAAAAUAUCGAGGCCGCAUCUGAAACAAAAACCAAAACCAAACCCAACAACCUCCUGGCUCUAAAGGGCCUUCCUGCUGCCACCUUUCCUGAUCGGCCCUGAGCCAAGCCACCAGGCCCUUCCGGCAGCCUGCUGAGGGCCUCCCGCCCCGCUCUCCACCCAGGCUCUCUGUGCUUGACUUUUAGAGGCCCCAGGACGCGCCUCCUGGUAUUCUCAGCCCUACUUUACAAAUAA